AUUGAACGCUGGCGGCAUGCUUUACACAUGCAAGUCGAACGGCAGCACGGGGGCAGCCCUGGUGGCGAGUGGCGAACGGGUGAGUAAUACAUCGGAACGUGCCCGGUCGUGGGGGAUAACGUAGCGAAAGUUACGCUAAUACCGCAUACGAUCUGAGGAUGAAAGCGGGGGACCUUCGGGCCUCGCGCGAUUGGAGGGGCCGAUGUCCGAUUAGGUAGUUGGUGGGGUAAAGGCCUACCAAGCCGACGAUCUGUAGCUGGUCUGAGAGGACGACCAGCCACACUGGGACUGAGCCACGGCCCAGACUCCUACGGGAGGCAGCAGUGGGGAAUUUUGGACAAUGGGCGCAAGCCUGAUCCAGCCAUUCCGCGUGCAGGACGAAGGCCUUCGGGUUGUAAACUGCUUUUGUACGGAACGAAAAGGCUCUGGCUAAUACCUGGGGCUCAUGACGGUACCGUAAGAAUAAGCACCGGCUAACUACGUG
rnacentral:rRNA from 1 species